CAAGUCGAACGAACUUCCGUUAAUUGAUUAUGACGUACUUGUACUGAUUGAGAUUUUAACACGAAGUGAGUGGCGAACGGGUGAGUAACACGUGGGUAACCUGCCCAGAAGUAGGGGAUAACACCUGGAAACAGAUGCUAAUACCGUAUAACAGAGAAAACCGCAUGGUUUUCUUUUAAAAGAUGGCUCUGCUAUCACUUCUGGAUGGACCCGCGGCGUAUUAGCUAGUUGGUGAGGUAAAGGCUCACCAAGGCAGUGAUACGUAGCCGACCUGAGAGGGUAAUCGGCCACAUUGGGACUGAGACACGGCCCAGACUCCUACGGGAGGCAGCAGUAGGGAAUCUUCCACAAUGGACGCAAGUCUGAUGGAGCAACGCCGCGUGAGUGAAGAAGGGUUUCGGCUCGUAAAGCUCUGUUGUUAAAGAAGAACGUGGGUAAGAGUAACUGUUUACCCAGUGACGGUAUUUAACCAGAAAGCCACGGCUAACUACGUGCCAGCAGCCGCGGUAAUACGUAGGUGGCAAGCGUUAUCCGGAUUUAUUGGGCGUAAAGCGAGCGCAGGCGGUCUUUUAAGUCUAAUGUGAAAGCCUUCGGCUCAACCGAAGAAGUGCAUUGGAAACUGGGAGACUUGAGUGCAGAAGAGGACAGUGGAACUCCAUGUGUAGCGGUGAAAUGCGUAGAUAUAUGGAAGAACACCAGUGGCGAAGGCGGCUGUCUGGUCUGCAACUGACGCUGAGGCUCGAAAGCAUGGGUAGCGAACAGGAUUAGAUACCCUGGUAGUCCAUGCCGUAAACGAUGAUUACUAAGUGUUGGAGGGUUUCCGCCCUUCAGUGCUGCAGCUAACGCAUUAAGUAAUCCGCCUGGGGAGUACGACCGCAAGGUUGAAACUCAAAAGAAUUGACGGGGGCCCGCACAAGCGGUGGAGCAUGUGGUUUAAUUCGAAGCUACGCGAAGAACCUUACCAGGUCUUGACAUCUUCUGACAGUCUAAGAGAUUAGAGGUUCCCUUCGGGGACAGAAUGACAGGUGGUGCAUGGUUGUCGUCAGCUCGUGUCGUGAGAUGUUGGGUUAAGUCCCGCAACGAGCGCAACCCUUAUUACUAGUUGCCAGCAUUAAGUUGGGCACUCUAGUGAGACUGCCGGUGACAAACCGGAGGAAGGUGGGGACGACGUCAAAUCAUCAUGCCCCUUAUGACCUGGGCUACACACGUGCUACAAUGGAUGGUACAACGAGUCGCGAGACCGCGAGGUUAAGCUAAUCUCUUAAAACCAUUCUCAGUUCGGACUGUAGGCUGCAACUCGCCUACACGAAGUCGGAAUCGCUAGUAAUCGCGGAUCAGCAUGCCGCGGUGAAUACGUUCCCGGGCCUUGUACACACCGCCCGUCACACCAUGAGAGUUUGUAACACCCAAAGCCGGUGAGGUAA
rnacentral:rRNA from 1 species